rnacentral:rRNA from 1 species
UACGUAGGUGGCAAGCGUUGUCCGGAUUUAUUGGGUUUAAAGGGUGCGUAGGCGGUCCUAUAAGUCAGUGCUGAAAUAUCCCGGCUUAACCUGGAGGGUGGCAUUGAUACUGCAGGACUUGAGUGAAGUCGAGGUAGGCGGAAUUGACGGUGUAGCGGUGAAAUGCUUAGAUAUCGUCAAGAACACCGAUAGUGAAGACAGCUUACUAGACUUCAACUGACGCUGAGGCACGAAAGUGUGGGGAUCAAACAGG